AGAAAUAAUAAUAAUAAAAAUAAAAAAGGGCCUCCUCUUUUGUUUUUUGGUUUUCGUCUCCCUCGAUGGCGGUGGAGGAAGAAGCAGCAGCUACUAGAAGGGGAAGGCGAAAGGGAUCACGGACGAUCCUUUGAUGGCGAUAUGUUAGGAAAGUGGAAAUUGUCGAGCGUCUCGUUUCUUCUCAGAGCUUUGCGUUCAACUGGAGAUGUGUUCUUUAAUUUGCUGCCUCAUCUUCUUCGGCCGCGGUGUCAGCAAAAUCAACAAGGGUCAUCGAUGAAGGCCUUCACAGAUUCGGCGUCAGAGGCAUUGUAGCCAAGCCUACCUCGUCAUCAGGAUGCAUGCAGGUUAAGGCAAAUGCCCAAGCACUUCCUAAGGUCAAUGGUUCAAAGGUCGGUCUGGACGCUGAAUACCAAAUAGUUGAGGUAGAAGGUCCCUCUGCCCCGAGGACCUCCUACAACCAAUUGUCAGACUGAAGCUCUCUUUUUGCUGCCAUAGCUACUAUCUUCUUGGCAGCAGAGAAGCAGUUUGCACUAAUUGACUGGAAGGCCAGGAUGCAGGACAUGCUUGCUGAUUCAUUUUGGCUCAGGAAGAUCAUGCAGGAUGGAAUGGUUUUCAGGCAGAAUUUCUCCAUUAGGUCAUAUGAAAUUGGACAGAUCAAGCAGCUUCCAUAGACAUUAAUGAACCAUCAACACUUUGGCUGUAGAUUAUUGCUUGCUUCAUUUAUGUUUUUAUUUUUGAAUUUUGUUUUUCUAACUCCAUUUGAUAUAUGCACUAAUUAGGAAACUGUUCUUAACCAUGUAAGGAGUACUGGGCUCAUGGCUGACUUUGGUUCAGCUCCUGAAAUGAGUAAGAGAAAUUUGAUUUGGGUUGUUACCAAGGUGCAAGUCCUUCCCUCCUGGUAUAUUCCUUUUGAUCAGAAUGUUGUGGUUUCUAGUUAGUUAAAAGCAAAAAAAAAAGGUUUUUUUUUAAUGGUCGAUCCUUGAUCGUUAAGAAAGUUUGUAUGCAUGAGUAAUUUAUUUUGUGCUCCAUUAUUUGUUUUUUGAUCGCUUGUUUUUCUAUUUCAAUCUUGCCCCAGAAUUUGAAGGUACAAAUUUCCAAUUAUCUUCUCAGUUCAUAGUAAAAAUUCAUUGUAGUCUUAUUUGCCAUGACUUAACAGAGUUGCUGAACAGCUGACAACUUGAUACAUCUUUAUGUCUGUAUUCAGCUUUGCUAUGCCGUUCAAAUUCUAGUAUUAUGGUUGUUGGAAGAAAUUGCCCUUUCCUGAGAAAAAGUAUUCAAGCUUGACCGUAGUGUCACAUCUUUAGUCAACUUCUUUCAUAUGUUGUAUGUGUCAGACGGACCUGAGCCUACUUAAUCUUUUUGAUCAAGGAGCUUCAGAUUUUUUAAUAUUUAUUUUCUUUUGUAACAACUUGAUACAUCUUUAGCCUUGCUUUGCUAAAGUAAUUAGUUUCUGUUGAUUACCUAUCCCUUAUAUGUUCUUAAUUUCUUCAUUGGUCAAAUUGAUUUGUUAUGUGUUACUGCCAAUCGAUUACCUAUACAUUAAAUGUUUCUUAGUUUUCAAUCAGAAAAUUUUGAUUUGCUAUGCUUGUCUCCUAUGACAUCCUUAGUUUCCAUUGCUUAUAAAUUUGUAUUUUCUAUUUAUUUCCAGGGAAAGAUGUUGUUCAAGUAGAUACAUGAGUAGCUUCAUUAGGGAAAAAUGGGAUGCGUCCACAUUGGUAUAAUUGUGACUACCAAACUGUUCUGAGAGUGACUAGGUUAAUUUCUGCAUGUUCUCUUGACAUUGUUUUCAUAGCAGAACUUCACUUCAGAUUGUUGAAAAUUUACAAUUGUGUGGGUGAUGAUGAACAAGAAGAGUAGGAGAUUGCUAAAAAUUCCAGAGGUCAGAACAGACAUAGGAUGCUAUUUUGUGGACCACAACCCUAUCAUUGAUGACGAUGGCAUGACAGAAUUGUUGAAACUGGAGGAUUACACUGCUGAUUACAUUCAAACAGGGUUUACUGUAAUUUCGAUGGAAUGGUUUAGAUGUUGACAACCAACAUGUUAACAAUGCCAAAUACAUCGGAUCGAUUCUUGAGGUUAUUUAUUUCAUUGACAUCAGGAAACCACAAGUAUGAUAUUCAUUUAUUUGCUGGUCGGGGCACAUGGUGUUGGGCCUAUAACAUAGCACUGUAGCACCACAUGCUACAUUUUUUUAUUAUUAUCUUCUGUCUCUCAAUUUGAGCACAUUAUGGGCCCUCAUUUCUGUAUCAUUAGCAGCAAAUCUAUUUGGAUGAUCCUCUAUAUUCGCUGAAUAUUCAUCCUGUUGCUUCGAGAUAAUGUUUCCGGUGCCUGCCAAUCAAAUCAUCUGCAUUUAUUGUGGAUGCACGUUUAUA